CGAAGCAUCUGAAGAAGGGAUCAGCUUACUCAUCAGCAGAAAGCUGGUGAAGCUGAUGAAUGGGGAAGUUCAGUACCUAAGAGAGGCGGGGCGAUCAACUUUCAUUAUAUCUGUUGAACUUGCGGUGGCAAACAAGUCAAGCUGAUGAACCUUUCAAAGUAGUAGAUCUGUAUAGUGAAGCGUUGAACUUGCAGUGGCAACCAAGUCAAGCUGAUGAUUUCAGGAACCUUUCAAACUAGUAGAUCUGUAUAGUGAAGAAGGAUUUCAAGUUAUCUGUGUUUUGAGAUCUUGCUGUCUUGUGAUGUUCCUCCUUUUUGGCACCCUUGGGUUCCUUUCAAUAAGUUUCUUGAACUAUUGCAUCUUCAACAUUUCAGCAUUUCCAGUUUCAUUAUAAUUCCAUGUGCAAUCAGAAAUUUUUAUCACUUUUGAGAGCAGAAUUUCAGGAUUUCCUAUUUCUAAGAUACCAUCUUUCUUUUUCAUCGAGACAAGAUAAAGGAUGAUCGAAAUGGUAAAGAACAAUCUUGCGUACGAAGAUAAUAUAUCAGUACCAGCAUUAUCUAGGC
rnacentral:lncRNA from 1 species